rnacentral:rRNA from 1 species
CCUACGGGUGGCUGCAGUGGGGAAUAUUGCACAAUGGGCGCAAGCCUGAUGCAGCCAUGCCGCGUGUGUGAAGAAGGCCUUCGGGUUGUAAAGCACUUUCAGCGGGGAGGAAGGCGUUAAGGUUAAUAACCUUGUCGAUUGACGUUACCCGCAGAAGAAGCACCGGCUAACUCCGUGCCAGCAGCCGCGGUAAUACGGAGGGUGCAAGCGUUAAUCGGAAUUACUGGGCGUAAAGCGCACGCAGGCGGUCUGUCAAGUCGGAUGUGAAAUCCCCGGGCUCAACCUGGGAACUGCAUUCGAAACUGGCAGGCUAAAGUCUUGUAGAGGGGGGUAGAAUUCCAGGUGUAGCGGUGAAAUGCGUAGAGAUCUGGAGGAAUACCGGUGGCGAAGGCGGCCCCCUGGACAAAGACUGACGCUCAGGUGCGAAAGCGUGGGGAGCAAACAGGAUUAGAUACCCGAGUAGUC